GGCUGAGCCAAAGGUUAGGAUUUUUAUCAAUUGAUUGCCGACAGUCAGUUACAGAUCAAACUCCUUGUUCUAUUAUUUCCCUCUUCUCACUAUUCCACUUGAUUAGACUGUU
ensembl:misc_RNA Y_RNA Y RNA